rnacentral:rRNA from 1 species
AUUGAACGCUGGCGGCAGGCCUAACACAUGCAAGUCGAACGAGGGGCGGACGGGUGAGUAAUGUCUGGGAAACUGCCCGAUGGAGGGGGAUAACUACUGGAAACGGUAGCUAAUACCGCAUACCAUCGGAUGUGCCCAGAUGGGAUUAGCUAGUUGGUGGGGUAACGGCUCACCUAGGCGACGAUCCCUAGCUGGUCUGAGAGGAUGACCAGCCACACUGGAACUGAGACACGGUCCAGACUCCUACGGGAGGCAGCAGUGGGGAAUUUUGGACAAUGGGGGAAACCCUGAUCCAGCCAUCCCGCGUGUGCGAUGAAGGCCUUCGGGUUGUAAAGCACUUUUAGCAGGGAAGCGUUACCUGCAGAAUAAGCACCGGCUAACUCCGUGCCAGCAGCCGCGGUAAUUC